rnacentral:lncRNA from 1 species
CUUAGAUUCCUGCGUGGGCAGCUCCCCUUGCCUCUGGGGUCAGUGCUUGGGGACACACUGUUGGAGUCACAAAGGGCGAAGUCCCCCGAGAGCAGCAGAUCAGCUGUUCUUUUGGGCUCCCCAAAGCUUUCUUGUGGCCAAUGGUCACAGUGAGAGGCCUGUAGGCUCUGGGCGGAGCCAGAUGCCAGGAUCCAAGCAGGAGUCCACUAGGGUCAGUGUUCUCAGCAAGACCUCAGGACUGUGACCAUCAUGCCAGCAGGAAUGAACAAUGCCACAGAACAUACACUUGUUUCCUGUUGCCUCUCAUCUACCAGGAGCGGGCAGAGCACAGGCCUUGGAGUCAGACCUGGAGGCAAAGCUCAGAAUGACUCUCUCGGUCCCAGCGGCCUCGGUGACUGCAUGUGACCCUGCAGCCAGCUUCCGACCCGACCCCCCAUCCCAUCCGGGGAGACAGCGACGUGCCAGGCUUGGGUGCUGCCAGCCGGGAGCCUGAUUUAGCACACGCCUUGUUAAGAGAAGCUAAUUAACAAACCUGCAUUUAAAUAAGCAGCCGCCCGGGUGUUUGUAACCACCGCCUUAUUGAAUUGUGACAAGUUA